CUUCACCCUCGAUAUUUCAGCGACAUUUUGCCAACUAAAAAGAGCCGCUUAUUCUCGCGAUCAACUUGUAGGCUACAUGAGCGAAGUCUGGCCCUCACGCGAAACUCCAUAACGUUCGGAUUCUUACUGAAAUGGAUUUCGCCAACUUUCAAAGGCUUAUCUUAUCAAAUUAAAUGGUGAUGCCUCCUGCAAUAAGAGCACAGCAGAGAUGCUGGCAUGCAUCCAGCUCUCUCAGUGUGCCCAGACUGCCGCUGGGAUGAGCACAGUAACCUUCAAGGAAAUGUAUUCCGGUGUCAUUGGCCGGACUCUGUGCCUCUGUUUGCAGACAGAAUACAGAGGUGCCCAUUCUCGGCAUCAUGGGAACUCCCACCAUCCCUUGCAUCUGUGCCUCCACCCACCACCAACCAAUUAUGUGCGAAAACAAAAAAACGGGGGGUAGAAAAGAGGCACUGCACCCUCUGAGGAAUGAGUCUCUUCAUUUCAAUAUCAGAGCCAGAGGAUGAGCAUGUUGGCACAUUCAGACCAGGAGGCCUGCAUUCAGUAUUCUGUCUUCAGUCACUCCACUGAAACAUUAUCUCAGUCAACCAGAUUGCUAAAUGUUGAUUUAAACUCUUGAUAUGCUGCCAUCAGCUUUAUGUUGAAAGUGUGACAUGAGCGACACGAUAAAAUUAAAUAUGUUAUUAUUUUAUUUUAUUAAUUUGGUGCCAUUUAUUAGUGAUAGCAUAUCUUUUUUAAAACAUAUCAUUAACAUUUUGGAAUCUUUACCAACAUCCUGUAUUACUUAAUUACUUUGCUUUUGGCAUCACCAACUGCUAAACAGAAGAGAGAUUUAUGAUAUUCUGACAACAUUUAAAUCAGAAAGGCAUGCAGCAAAAUUGGACUUGGAAGAGAACCACUUUCAUCCCUAAAGCAUUUAUCCAUCAAAUAUUCAUUUCUUGGCAUUCAUGUGAUAUUACCCUGAAUAACUAGACACAAAGCAAUAAAAACAAGUGGUGUAUCAGGGGAUUUGACAGACAACAAUUACAUCAAAUUGACUUUAAUUAAAAACUGAUGAAAAUGUCAUGUGAUGCCUACAACCUCUGGUUCAAAUAUGUAAGUGCAUGCUUGUGAUUUACCAGAGAUGUGAAAGUUAUCUGACCUAAAAAAGAAAUAGAAAAAUAAGUAUUUUAGAGUACUCAAAUUCUAAAUAUUCAAAUGCCAAAAGGGCCAAAAUAAUUUUUUUUUUACUUGCUCCAUUACUUACUAUUCUUAUUUAAUUAUUUUUAUUUUGCAAAAGCCAUAUACAUUUUUGCCAUAUAUACACACAUUUUCUAGAAUUUUUCCCAAUGUUUUGCGAAACAUUUACAUCUGUGCAUUUCAUUCUGUAAACAUCAUGCUUGUCAGUAAAUUUGAAUAUAUUUUAUUCAGAAACUGUGGCGCUAUGGAAAUGACGUGUGUCUGAAUGUCAUUGCUGUGAAACACCAUUGCCCGCAUCCCUCCCAUUUCCCCUGUCCCACCCCUCACAGGCCAGACACUGUUCUAUCUAUUUGCACACUGUCAGUCUCAAAAGCAAGUGGCCCUCUCUUCUCCUCCUGGGCAAGUCCCUCCUGAGAGGCGGCCAUUCCUGCCUGCUGGGAUACUGACAGUUAACCUUUCGCUCAGAGAUUUCUGGGAGCUCUGCCAGAUUUUCCCACCCUGAAUAGCUUUUUAAGAAAAGCUACAAACUUAACAGAUCGCACAUCCCGAGCAGUGUACUACCUCUGCUACAUUAGCUUACCUACAGAGAUAACGAGCCUGUUAGAAACCUCUGCUGGAGUGAACCAAGUUGAUGACCUCCCCAUCCUCUUUUAUUCUUAUGUGCAGUGUAUUGCUCUUCUUUAAAGUUUGAAAUACCCCCAACAAGGCAUUCCAUAAGUUUGAGCUCAUCAUAGUUGGCAUUAUUGGGAAAUUAGAAACUAUAGUUGCAUGAAACAAAAGGUAUUUCCCAUUUUAUAAUACUGAAAAAGUAACACACCAUACUUUCUCUGCUCCUGCUGUUCACCUCCUGCACACAGCAUCAGUACAAUGGCAUUAGUAUGCCAAUGGACACAUGAAUGGAUAUCCUGUCAUACACGACAUACAUCAUAAGACAUCUCUGAACUUUUGAUCCCCUCCAAGUUUUGAUAGAUCUAUUGUUGAACCCAUAGACUUAGGGAACAAUGGUGUUUGACGCAGGGAAUCUGGGGUACAGUACGGGUGUCUGUAGCCCAAUCUGGUAAUUAAGUGGGGUUAAAGCCAGGAGGGGCUCAGCGGGGGCGAUGCCUGGUAGGGGUGCUUGAGUCACUGCAGGGUAUAUAGGAGAUCACAGAGAGACAGAGACAGACACCCCACCAGGAGACCAGGCUGCCUUCUGACAUGCCAGGAGUGCAGAGGUGUCACCAUUCGUGUGUGCAGAUUUGAGAUUGUCUCUCUAAUUCAUGAGGCCAAAUGAAAAGAGUUCCACCACUAAUAUAACAUAGCAUAAUACAACAUAAUAUAAGGAGUGGGUAUAAAUAAAAAUAACUAAAUAAAUAAAUAUA